rnacentral:rRNA from 1 species
AGAGUUUGAUCCUGGCUCAGGAUGAACGCUAGCGGCAGGCCUAAUACAUGCAAGUCGAACGGUAACAUUGGUGCUUGCACCAGAUGACGAGUGGCGCACGGGUGCGUAACGCGUAUGCAAUCUACCUUUUACUAGAGUAUAGCCCAGAGAAAUUUGGAUUAAUCCUCUAUAAUAUCUUUAAGUUUCAUGACUUUUAGAUUAAAGUUUUAACGGUAAAAGAUGAGCAUGCGUCCUAUUAGUUUGUAGGUGAGGUAACGGCUCACCUAGACUACGAUAGGUAGGGGCCCUGAGAGGGGGAUCCCCCACACUGGUACUGAGACACGGACCAGACUCCUACGGGAGGCAGCAGUAAGGAAUAUUGGACAAUGGACGAAAGUCUGAUCCAGCCAUGCCGCGUGCAGGAUGAAAGCCCUAUGGGUUGUAAACUGCUUUUAUACAGGAAGAAACACUCGUACGUGUACGAGCUUGACGGUACUGUAAGAAUAAGGACCGGCUAACUCCGUGCCAGCAGCCGCGGUAAUACGGAGGGUCCGAGCGUUAUCCGGAAUCAUUGGGUUUAAAGGGUCCGCAGGCGGUCUUUUAAGUCAGAGGUGAAAGCCUACAGCUCAACUGUAGAACGGCCUUUGAUACUGAAAGACUUGAGUUAUUAUGAAGUGGUUAGAAUGUGUGGUGUAGCGGUGAAAUGCAUAGAUAUCACACAGAAUACCGAUUGCGAAGGCAGAUCACUAAUAAUAUACUGACGCUCAUGGACGAAAGCGUGGGGAGCGAACAGGAUUAGAUACCCUGGUAGUCCACGCCGUAAACGAUGGAUACUAGUUGUUGGGAUUUAUCUCAGUGACUAAGCGAAAGUGAUAAGUAUCCCACCUGGGGAGUACGGUCGCAAGACUGAAACUCAAAGGAAUUGACGGGGGCCCGCACAAGCGGUGGAGCAUGUGGUUUAA